rnacentral:rRNA from 1 species
UACAGAGGGGGCAAGCGUUGUUCGGAAUGACUGGGCGUAAAGGGCGCGUAGGCGGCCUGUUAAGUCGAACGUGAAAUCCCUGGGCUCAACCCAGGAACUGCGUCCGAUACUGGCAGGCUUGAAUCCGGGAGAGGGAUGCGGAAUUCCAGGUGUAGCGGUGAAAUGCGUAGAUAUCUGGAGGAACACCGGUGGCGAAGGCGGCAUCCUGGACCGGCAUUGACGCUGAGGCGCGAAAGCCAGGGGAGCAAACGGG